GGGAAUGUAGCUCAGUUGGUAGAGUGCUUGCCUCGCAGGCACAAGGCCCUGGGUUCAACCCCUGAACUACCA
rnacentral:tRNA from 1 species